rnacentral:tRNA from 1 species
CGCCGGAUCGCUGACGCUUGACGACGCCGUGCGCCUGGUGCGCGUGCGCGCCGACGCCAUGCAGGCCGCCGUGCCGGUCGGCACCGGCGC